rnacentral:lncRNA from 1 species
CGCGGUCCUCGGGGAGCCCCGCAGCCCCACGGCGCCUCCUUCUCCACCCCCAGCACCCCACUGGAGCGGUCGCCGCCGGGCAGCGCUCUUUUUGACGAGGAGAGCCUCCGCGGGAAGCGGAGCCCCGGCUGCGAGCUGCCCUUCCUGGCGCGCACCCCCUCGGCCCUGGCGCUGAGCGGCACCGCCAGCCCCGCCAACAGCAUCUUCUCCUCGCCCCGCCGCUGGCUGCAGCAGAGGAAGGGGCAGCCCUCGUCGCCCGAGCCUCGCCCCGCCGCCUACGUCGUGUGGAAAUCCGAGAAACACAUCUGGAGGCUGCAUCAGGGCAUUGUUGAAGUCCAAAUGUGUGCCCUUUAGCUCUUUAAACUGGUACCAUCCAGCUGAUCAGAUGGUAAAUGGAAAUUCUAAUUGCUGUAGAAUGUGGGUGUCUGGCAUAAGUGCCAAAAUUAAAAAGAGAAUAUCUGCUGUUCUUUUGUAACUUAUGUUCUGUGAUAGCUGAUCUGGAGGGCACUCUCAUGGAGGCAGCUAGGCUGCACUGCUAUAUUUGUCAGAGCUUCCUCUCUGGAAGUCCAUUUUAAGCAAAGCUCUCAGGUGUUUGGAGGCCUGGUUGUUUGGGAAUCUGUCUGACAAACUGGCUGGAAACUAGAUACCAUUUUGCUUUCUACCAGGGAAAUCCUUCCCUUAUCCUGAAAGGCUGCCAAUCUCCCAGCAGAGACAGUGAGGUGCCACUGCCAGAGGAGUGGGUAGAGAUAACAGGGCAUGAUCCUUAUUGCCUGUGCUCCACAAACACAAACUUUUCUGCCAGAACUGCUGAAUCCUGAUGAUGGGGUUGGGAUCAGAGAGAACCAUCACCACUUGGCAAGUUGAAGAGCUGUUAAGCCCUGGAAAUGGAAACACGGGGAGCUGCAAUGAGCUCACCUUCAUGGACAUACUGCAGUUGUGGUGGCCAUGGUCUCAGGUGGCAGGACAUCUUUCCUGAGUGGUUUGAGCUCUUGGAUACCCUUCUUUUGGACCAAGUCCAGUUACUUGGAAUUAGCAUUCAGCAUGACAUUUAACUAUAGAACUUUUUUUGAGCUGAAGAUAGCAGGCUUAAGAUGAAUUAACUUGAAUUAUAGUUGAAAAGAACGAGAUUAUUGCAGUGAAUUAUUUAUUUCUGGCUUCCUUACAGUUCUUUGAAACACACUCCCUUAGUUGAGAUGAAGGCAUUUAAUAACCAUAUUGCUCUGCUAGAGGGUGACUGGCCCUUUAAUUAAAAUAGGACCAAAGCAUCUGUAGGAAAGCAGGAGCUCUUCUUGUGCUGGAUCUGUCUCAGACAGAUGGAGGUGGAGUGGAAGCCAGUGGGAAAGGAAAAAUAUGGUUGGCAACAUCUGGGCCAAAUCAAAGCAAAGCUGGAAGCGAGCAAUUUGUCAGGCUGUUCCCAAGGAGAAUGUGAGGAUUUCAGUAGAAGGUACAUAGCAGGGGGAGCUACAGAGAGGCCUGCUUGCUGACCCCUCUUGAAAUAAAUCCAAGGCUAGAGGAGGCUGAAAACA